rnacentral:rRNA from 1 species
GACGAACGCUGGCGGCGUGCUUAACACAUGCAAGUCGAACGGUGAAGCGCCUUCCUUUUUGGUGGGUGUGGAUGAGUGGCGAACGGGUGAGUAACACGUGAGUAACCUGCCCCCUUCUUCUGGAUAACCGCAUGAAAGUGUGGCUAAUACGGGAUAUUCUGGGUCUGUCGCAUGAUGGGUCUGGGAAAGAUAUUGUUUCGGUGGGGGAUGGGCUCGCGGCCUAUCAGCUUGUUGGUGGGGUGAUGGCCUACCAAGGCGGUGACGGGUAGCCGGCCUGAGAGGGUGGGCGGUAACAGUGGGGCGGAGACACGGCCAAGACUCCUACGGGAGGCAGCAGGGGGGAUUAUGGAACAGUGGGAGCAAGCCUGAUGCAGCGACGCCGCGGGGGGGAUGGUGCCCUUCGGGUUGUGAACCGCUUUCGCCGGUGAAGAAGGCCGGCCGCGUUUGUGGGUGGGUUGACGGUAGCUGAAUAAAAAGCGCCGGCUAACUACGUG